ensembl:lncRNA
GUAGAGAGGGAUGUAGAGAGAGAGAGAUAGAGGGAUAGGGAUGUAGAGAUGUAGAGAGAGGGAUGUAGAGAUGUAGAGAGAGAAGAUGUAGAGAGAUGUUGAGAGGGAGAGAUGUAGAGAGAGAUGUAGAGAGAGAUGUAGAGAGAGAUGUAGAGAGAGAUGUAGAGAGAGAUGUAGAGAGAGAUGUAGAGAGAGAUGUAGAGAGAGAUGUAGAGAUAGUCCAUUAGACACCUCGUCCUCCUGGCAGGUCUCAUCCAGGGCUGUGUCCUAAAGGGCACCCUAUUCCCUAUAUAGUGCACUACUUUUGGCCAAAGCCCUACAUAGGAAAUAGGGUGCCCCAGGUGUACUCCAGGCGGUCUACCCCCAGGUGUACUCCAGGC